UUACGGGAGGCAGCAGUAGGGAAUCUUCCGCAAUGGGCGAAAGCCUGACGGAGCAACGCCGCGUGAGUGAUGAAGGUUUUCGGAUCGUAAAACUCUGUUAUUAGGGAAGAACAAAUGCGUAAGUAACUGUGCGCAUCUUGACGGUACCUAAUCAGAAAGCCACGGCUAACUACGUGCCAGCAGCCGCGGUAAUACGUAGGUGGCAAGCGUUAUCCGGAAUUAUUGGGCGUAAAGCGCGCGUAGGCGGUUUCUUAAGUCUGAUGUGAAAGCCCACGGCUCAACCGUGGAGGGUCAUUGGAAACUGGGAAACUUGAGUGCAGAAGAGGAAAGUGGAAUUCCAUGUGUAGCGGUGAAAUGCGCAGAGAUAUGGAGGAACACCAGUGGCGAAGGCGACUUUCUGGUCUGUAACUGACGCUGAUGUGCGAAAGCGUGGGGAUCAAACAGGAUUAGAUACCCCGGU
rnacentral:rRNA from 1 species